UGGGGAAUAUUGCACAAUGGGCGCAAGCCUGAUGCAGCCAUGCCGCGUGUGUGAAGAAGGCCUUCGGGUUGUAAAGCACUUUCAGCGAGGAGGAAGGUGGUGAGCUUAAUACGCUCAUCAAUUGACGUUACUCGCAGAAGAAGCACCGGCUAACUCCGUGCCAGCAGCCGCGGUAAUACGGAGGGUGCAAGCGUUAAUCGGAAUUACUGGGCGUAAAGCGCACGCAGGCGGUUUGUUAAGUCAGAUGUGAAAUCCCCGGGCUCAACCUGGGAACUGCAUUUGAAACUGGCAAGCUAGAGUCUCGUAGAGGGGGGUAGAAUUCCAGGUGUAGCGGUGAAAUGCGUAGAGAUCUGGAGGAAUACCGGUGGCGAAGGCGGCCCCCUGGACGAAGACUGACGCUCAGGUGCGAAAGCGUGGGGCAGCAAACAGGAUUAGAUACCCUGGUAGUCCACGCUGUAAACGAUGUCGAUUUUGGAGGUUGUGCCCUUGAGGCGUGGNUUCCGGAGCUAACGCGUUAAAUCGACCGCCUGGGGAGUACGGCCGCAAGGUUAAAACUCAAAGGAAUUGC
rnacentral:rRNA from 1 species